rnacentral:tRNA from 1 species
GAGGAUAGAGCCCAGAGGUAGAGUGUGUGCUUAGCAUGCAUGUAGUCCUGGGUUCAAUUUCCAGUACCUUCA